rnacentral:rRNA from 1 species
AUUGAACGCUGGCGGCAUGCCUUACACAUGCAAGUCGAACGGUAACAGGUCUUCGGAUGCUGUCGAGUGGCGAACGGGUGAGUAAUACAUCGGAACGUGCCUAGUAGUGGGGGAUAACUACUCGAAAGAGUGGCUAAUACCGCCUGAGAUCUACGGAUGAAAGCAGGGGAUCGCAAGACCUUGUGCUACUAGAGCGGCCGAUGGCGGAUUAGGUAGUUGGUGGGAUAAAAGCUUACCAAGCCGACGAUCUGUAGCUGGUCUGAGAGGACGAUCAGCCACACUGGGACUGAGACACGGCCCAGACUCCUACGGGAGGCAGCAGUGGGGAAUUUUGGACAAUGGGCGAAAGCCUGAUCCAGCAAUGCCGCGUGCAGGAUGAAGGCCUUCGGGUUGUAAACUGCUUUUGUACGGAACGAGAAGCCCCGGGUUAAUACCCUGGGGUCAUGACGGUACCGUAAGAAUAAGCACCGGCUAACUACGUGCCAGCCGCCGCCGUAA